AGAUUGAACGCUGGCGGCAUGCCUAACACAUGCAAGUCGAACGGGAGUAGCAAUACUCUAGUGGCGGACGGGUGAGGAAUACGUAGGAAUUUGCCCUUAAGUGGGGGAUAACCCGGGGAAACCCGGAUUAAUACCGCAUGACCUCGAAAGAGCAAAGUGGGGGAUCGCAAGACCUCACGCUUUUGGAGAAGCCUACGUCGGAUUAGCUAGUUGGUGAGGUAAUGGCUCACCAAGGCGACGAUCCGUAACUGGUCUGAGAGGAUGAUCAGUCACACCGGAACUGAGACACGGUCCGGACUCCUACGGGAGGCAGCAGUGGGGAAUAUUGGACAAUGGG
rnacentral:rRNA from 1 species